AUUGAACGCUGGCGGCAGGCUUAACACAUGCAAGUCGAGCGAGCGGCGGACGGGUGAGUAAUGUCUGGGAAACUGCCUGAUGGAGGGGGAUAACUACUGGGACCGGUAGCUAAUACCGCAUACCAUCAGAUGACCCCAGGUGGGAUUAGCUAGUAGGUGGGGUAAUGGCUCACCUAAGCGACGAUCCCUAGCUGGUCUGAGGGGAUGACCAGCCACUCUGGGACUCAGACACGGUCCAGACUCCUACGGGAGUCAGCAGUGGGGAAUAUUGCACAAUGGGCGCAAGCCUGAUGCAGCCAUGCCGGGUGUGUGAAGAAGGCCUUCGGGUUGUAAAGCACUUUCAGCGAUAAGGCGUUACUCGCAGAAGAAGCACCGGCUAACUACGUGCCAGCAGCCGCGGUAUUUC
rnacentral:rRNA from 1 species